CCUGUCACUGAUGAUGAUCUUGUCUUAUAUAUUCUUGGAGGACUUGGGCAAGAAUAUGAUGCCUUGGUUGUCUCGAUCACUGCUAAGGUGAAACUAAUUUCAUUAGUCGAUCUUCAUGGCUUGCUUUUAAGUCAUGAGU